rnacentral:rRNA from 2 species
UGCAAGUCGAGCGGAUCGAUGGGAGCUUGCUCCCUGAGAUCAGCGGCGGACGGGUGAGUAACACGUGGGUAACCUGCCUGUAAGACUGGGAUAACUCCGGGAAACCGGGGCUAAUACCGGAUAACACCUACCCCCGCAUGGGGGAAGGUUGAAAGGUGGCUUCGGCUAUCACUUACAGAUGGACCCGCGGCGCAUUAGCUAGUUGGUGAGGUAAUGGCUCACCAAGGCGACGAUGCGUAGCCGACCUGAGAGGGUGAUCGGCCACACUGGGACUGAGACACGGCCCAGACUCCUACGGGAGGCAGCAGUAGGGAAUCUUCCGCAAUGGACGAAAGUCUGACGGAGCAACGCCGCGUGAGUGAAGAAGGUUUUCGGAUCGUAAAACUCUGUUGUUAGGGAAGAACAAGUGCCGUUCGAAUAGGGCGGCGCCUUGACGGUACCUAACCAGAAAGCCACGGCUAACUACGUGCCAGCAGCCGCGGUAAUACGUAGGUGGCAAGCGUUGUCCGGAAUUAUUGGGCGUAAAGCGCGCGCAGGUGGUUUCUUAAGUCUGAUGUGAAAGCCCACGGCUCAACCGUGGAGGGUCAUUGGAAACUGGGGAACUUGAGUGCAGAAGAGGAAAGUGGAAUUCCAAGUGUAGCGGUGAAAUGCGUAGAUAUUUGGAGGAACACCAGUGGCGAAGGCGACUUUCUGGUCUGUAACUGACACUGAGGCGCGAAAGCGUGGGGAGCAAACAGG